AGGUCCAGCCUGCCCAGUGACUAUAUGUUCAACGGCCGCGGUAUUCUGACCGUGCAAAGGUAGCGUAAUCACUUGUCUUUUAAAUAAAGACUGGUAUGAAUGGCACCACGAAGGUUCAACUGUCUCCUGCAUCCAAUCCAUUAAACUGACCUCCCCGUGCAGAGGCGGGGAUACAACCAUAAGACGAGAAGACCCUAUGGAGCUUUAAACUAAAGGCAACUGCCAACUUCAACCUAACCCGUAAGGAAGAAACAAUAAAACAAGCAGAAAUUGACCUAAAGUUUUCGGUUGGGGCGACCACGGAGAACAAAAAAUCCUCCUUGAAGAAUAGGGUCUACCACCCUUAACCAAGAAUCACCAUUCUAAGUAACAAAAUUUAUGACUACAAUUGAUCCAGUCUUACUGAUCAACGAACCAAGUUACCCUAGGGAUAACAGCGCAAUCCAUUUCAAAAGUUCCUAUCGACAAAUGGGUUUACGACCUCGAUGUUGGAUCAGGGCAUCCCAGUGGUGCAGCCGCUACUAAAGGUUCGUUUGUUCAACGAUUAAAGCCCUACGUGAUCUGAGU
rnacentral:rRNA from 1 species